GGCAACAGCGACGGUUCGGUAUCGCAGAAAACGACGAAAAAUAAAGUAAAAUUCAAAGUAGAAAAACUUGGCGAAGGUGCAACGAAAACGGUGAAACAAGUUUUUUUCUGUUUCUAUUCCUCCAACAUCACAACUUGACUUAUUGGAAUAUAUGCAUGAGUAUACGUGUAAAUAAUAUUUGCAAAAAAAAACAACAACAAUACGAGAAAAACAUAUUCUAUAAAACGCGAAAAAGUUGUAUAAAAUCAAGUAUUUUAUGAAAAGUGACUGGAAAUUAUCAUAUUUUCUGCAAAUCAAAUUGGUCCCGGAAGUUUUUUGCUUUUUUCAAUCCCCUAAAAUAAAAAACAAUAAAACAAUAAAAAAACAUUCGAUGAAAUCAUAUCUUGUGCGGCUGCCAAAUAAAAAGGUGCGCACUAAGAAACCAGUAAAAAUUGUACUGACAAAAAAUUAAUAUACUUUUACAUACAAAGUUUACUUACAAUUAACUGUCAAUUAAGUGACGCUGUGCGUGCGCGACUCUGUUAUUGUUAUUACAUUUGUGUCUGCGUACUUGAACGGGGCACUGGGCGAAAUAAGCCAAGACAACCAGUUAAAGCAACCACGCAUUUUGGCGCAAACAACAUUCGCUAAAAAAAGGUAAUUUGACACAUCUGUAUAUACAACCGAAAAUAUAUUUAUAUUUUAUGAGUAAGUAUGUAUCAACAAACCGUUAAGAACUCUUCAUUAUUAUUAAACAUUCUUUUUUAUUAAAUGGUAACCAUUGUCAUAUGGCAAGUCUUGGUUUUUAAGUUUUCUUUAACAAUCAAGGGGUUUUCAUCGCUCUAUUCCCAUAUGGUCCCUUUCGAAUUUGCCGAAACAAUUUUCCAUUGCCUGUUUGUUAACAGGUACUUCGCUUAUGAACAUCUGUAGAAAAGUGCAGAAAACUCUGGAUAUGACUGACACUUGAUGCUGUGCGAACGGGCUAUCGGUAAACCCGACCAAGUCUGGUAUUGUCUUCUUUACCAGAAGGAGGAAGCUUGAUGGACUCGUUCUGCCUAAGCCAAAAGUAGUCACAAUCCAGCUAUCCAAUGAAAUAAAAUAUCUUGGAGUAAUCUUAGAUAGUAAACUUCUUUGGAAGUCACACGUUGAAACAAAGACAUCCAAAGCACUGACAGCCGUCUGACAGCGCAAAGGUCUUUGGGAGAACGUGGCAAAAUCCUAUGGAUCUACACAGCUAUAAUAAGACCUUUAUCAGUGGUCUGGAUGAGUAUACUCUCUUUCGUGGGAGUCAGGAGGACCUUCUGGAGAUUAUAACGCACUGUGACCAUCUGUUGCACUGGAGCUUUUCCGACUACUCCAGGCCAGGCAUUAGAUGCUCUGGUUAGUCAACUACCACUUGAUAUUUUCAUCCAAGGAGAGGCCUUGUAGGCCAUCUGGAGGCUGAAAUACAAUGGGAAUUGGACAACAUUAGACAACAGAGUAGGCAUAGACUUCGAUCAAAUGAUCCUCUCCAUGUCCCUUGACUCCAUACCAUUUAGAGUUGUGUUUGAAAAGAGAUACAGUGUGGGGCUACCAGAGGCUGAAUUGUGGUCGAACUCU